rnacentral:rRNA from 1 species
UACAGAGGUCCCAAGCGUUGUUCGGAUUCACUGGGCGUAAAGGGUGCGUAGGUGGUGCCCUAAGUCUGUUGUGAAAUCUCCCGGCUUAACCGGGAGGGUGCGGCGGAAACUGGAGUGCUUGAGGGUGGGAGAGGUAAGCGGAAUUCCUGGUGUAGCGGUGAAAUGCGUAGAUAUCGGAAGGAACAUCAGUGGCGAAAGCGGCUUCCUGGACCAGAACUGACGAUCAGGCACGAAAGCGUGGGGAGCAAACAGG